AUGAUGUGCAUCUGGAUGCACUCUCUGAAGAUACUAUUGUGUGGUAGCAUACGACAAGCGGGCACUACACUGCAGCCUCCGCCUACAAGGCCCAAUUCCUUGGCUUGGUUCUCUCUCCCAUGGACCAAAUGGUUUGGAAAACUUGGGCACCACCAAAGACUAAAUUCUUCGCUUGGUUGGCUAUCCAAGACAGAAUUUGGACUGCGGAUAGGCUACAAAGACGAGGAUGGCCAAAUUGUGGUCUUUGCAUCCUUUGCAAGAGAGAGCAAGAAAAUGGACCGCGUCUUUUCUUCAAAUGCCGCUUCACGAUUAGGCUAUGGAACUUGGUUAUUGCAAAAUUUGGGCUUCAUCAUAUGGACACCUCUAUGUGGCAUCUUAAGAGUUCGGUCAAGGAAUGAUGGACAAAUAGGACUGGCGCCGGAGUCCCCAACAGGAAGGCCAUGGCCUCUCUAA
rnacentral:rRNA from 1 species